GAUGGGUUUUCCUUUCAGCAGAAAACUAAUAAUGGUAAAUAGUUGAGGGAAGCAGGAACGAAUCUCUGUCUCCAGGAUCUAUAUGGGAGACAUAAGGAGACCCAGGUGAAACAAGCUGUAAGGGUACAAGGUGGGAAGACCCCUUGAGGACAGCCAGAUUCACCUACAGCCAGCAAAGUCAAAGAGGAUGUUCAUUAGGGGGAGAACUAGGAACUCGAGCUUUCUGUUUCUCCUAUAGGAUCUGAUUAAAUAUCUAUUCCAGUGAAAGGGGAAAGCCCAAGGUCUAGAAGACUGCCAAUGUUUUCAGGCUGGUUUUAAAGUGUACCCUCAAAUAUCAGUGGGUCAAAGAAAACUUGUGGGAAGAAAACGAUGAAAUAGGAGCCCAAAUCAACAACCAUCAAUUUCUUAUCUUCAAGAGCCAAUCUUCCUGCACACGAACUUCCACAUGAAUUUAAUAUUGAAAUUGUAACACCUGCCCCUUUAUACGACCCCUUGCCAAGUGGACACUGUGAGGGGGGAAAAGGUAGAUUGGCAAUGAUCUUCGGUUAUUGUUGGGGGGAGGGUGGUAAUGGGGGGAGGAUGGGGAGGGGAACACCCAUAUCGAAGGGGAGGGGAAGGGGCUAGGGAGAUGUUGGCAGGAAACCGGGAAAGGGAAUAACAAUUGAUGUAAAUAAGAAAUACCCAAGUUAAUAAAGAUGGAGAAAAAAAAGAAAGAAAGAAAAAGGUUUGACAUGCAAACCCAAACAGAGGACUAUGAAUAUCUGGAAGAGUGAAAUCAAAGCUGGGCACCCCACGGUGAGUUGUGUUGGUUUUCCAAAGCUCCUAAGUAACUUGAGGUUUAUUUGCACUGCCAGACUUCAACUCUCCUGACUCUUUCUGCAUCACACCUUGGGUUGAUCCCUUGAUCACAGCUUUCUGGGACCCAGUAAACUCCCCAUGAUCACUUUAUAUGGAGAGUGUUGGAAUGUUUCCUUAUUAGUUUUCACACACAAAACCAGAGCAUAAAAAAAGAACGAAAGAACGAAAGAACGAAAGAACGAAAGAACGAAAGAACGAACGAACGAACGAACGAACGAAAGAAAGAAAGAAAGAAAGAAAGAAAGAAAGAAAGAAAGAAAGAAAGAAAGGAAGGAAGGAUAGAAAGAAAGGGAAAGAAAACCCUGGGAGAAAGCUGGAGAGGCAGGGCAUGGAUAGCCACUUUUCCAGUAUCCUACAGUGGUCACCUGACUCUACGCUCUACAACAUGAAUUGAAGCCAUCAUGAAUCUCUCACAAACCCUGGCCCCAUUCCUUCUUGUCUUUUUACCAGAGGUUGGUCCAGAACAAGUGUGGAUAUUUAACAUAAGUCAAGUCAAAAAGGUCUAACAGUUUUCUAGAAUGCAAAAAGGCCAAGACUGAGGAAUGGGAACCGACGGUGCUCCAUACCUGUCAACCCAGGCAUCCCAUAAUGGAGACAAGAGGAUCCAGACUAUGAGGCCAUCCCAUGCUACACAGGGAGACACUAACUCCAAACUAAACAGCAAACUGAGACACAGGAAGGAGGCUCGCACGGUGUUGUAAUGGCUUAGCAGGUACUUAGGCCUCUGAGAGGGUUUGUGAGAAAUUGAAUUGAAUAACCUUUUGUCUUCCUAUUCUGAAUAAUAAUCCCCUUCCUUACAGUUAAGUCAACUUGAGUUGGAAAUUCUGGUAUUUGCUGAUGGGUGCACAGUAUAUUUUCUAACAUUAAACACCUUUCAUCUUCUGAUCAAAUAGAGAAGAGAAUGAAUAAAAUAAAAAUUUUCAUAGAA